AACGAUGAAACUUUACUGACUUCUUCGGAAUGAUUUAAAGCGGAUUAGUGGCGAACGGGUGAGUAACGCGUGAGUAACCUGCCUUACACAAGGGGAUAGCCUCUGGAAACGGAGAAUAAUACCCUAUGAAACCAGACAAUCGCAUGAUAAUCUGGUCAAAAUGUUUAGUGGUGUAAGAUGGACUUGCGUCUGAUUAGCUAGUUGGUGAGAUAACAGCUCACCAAGGCAACGAUCAGUAGCCGGCUUGAGAGAGUGUACGGCCACAUUGGGACUGAGACACGGCCCAGACUCCUACGGGAGGCAGCAGUGGGGAAUUUUGCACAAUGGGGGAAACCCUGAUGCAGCGACGCCGCGUGAUUUAGAAGGCCUUCGGGUUGUAAAAAUCUUUUGUAUAGGAAGAAAAUGACAGUACUAUACGAAUAAGGUCCGGCUAAUUACGUGCCAGCAGCCGCGGUAAUACGUAAGGACCGAGCGUUGUCCGGAAUCAUUGGGCGUAAAGGGUACGUAGGCGGGUUUUUAAGUUAGAAGUCAAAGGCUAUAGCUCAACUAUAGUAAGCUUCUAAAACUGGGAACCUUGAGUAAUGGAAGGGAAAGUGGAAUUCCUAGUGUAGCGGUGGAAUGCGCAGAUAUUAGGAGGAAUACCGGUGGCGAAGGCGACUUUCUGGCCAUU
rnacentral:rRNA from 2 species